GGGGAAUAUUGGACAAUGGGCGCAAGCCUGAUCCAGCCAUGCCGCGUGAGUGAUGAAGGCCCUAGGGUUGUAAAGCUCUUCCAGCGAGGAGGAUAAUGACGUUACUCGCAGAAGAAGCCCCGGCUAACUUCGUGCCAGCAGCCGCGGUAAUACGAGGGGGCUAGCGUUGUUCGGAAUCACUGGGCGUAAAGCGCACGUAGGCGGACUUUUAAGUCAGGGGUGAAAUCCCGGGGCUCAACCUCGGAACUGCCUUUGAUACUGGAAGUCUGGAGUCCGAGAGAGGUGAGUGGAACUCCGAGUGUAGAGGUGAAAUUCGUAGAUAUUCGGAAGUACACCAGUGGCGAAGGCGGCUCACUGGCUCGGUACUGACGCUGAGGUGCGAAAGCGUGGGGAGCAAAC
rnacentral:rRNA from 1 species